UGAGGAAUAUUGGACAAUGGGCGCAAGCCUGAUCCAGCCAUGCCGCGUGCAGGAUGACGGUCCUAUGGAUUGUAAACUGCUUUUGUACGGGAAGAAACACUCCUUCGUGAAGGGGCUUGACGGUACCGUAAGAAUAAGGAUCGGCUAACUCCGUGCCAGCAGCCGCGGUAAUACGGAGGAUCCAAGCGUUAUCCGGAAUCAUUGGGUUUAAAGGGUCCGUAGGCGGUUUUGUAAGUCAGUGGUGAAAUCCGGCAGCUCAACUGUCGCACUGCCAUUGAUACUGCAGGACUUGAAUUAUUGUGAAGUAACUAGAAUAUGUAGUGUAGCGGUGAAAUGCUUAGAUAUUACAUGGAAUACCCAUUGCGAAGGCAGGUUACUAACAAUACAUUGACGCUGAUGGACGAAAGCGUGGGGAGCGAACAGG
rnacentral:rRNA from 1 species